CCUACGGGAGGCAGCAGUGAGGAAUAUUGGUCAAUGGCCGAAAGGCUGAACCAGCCAAGUAGCGUGAAGGACGACUGUCCUAUGCAUUGUAAACUUCUUUUGUAAAGGGAUAAAAUUAGGCACGAGUGCCUUAUUGCAUGUACUUUAUGAAUAAGGAUCGGCUAACUCCGUGCCAGCAGCCGCGGUAAUACGGAGGAUACGAGCGUUAUCCGGAUUUAUUGGGUUUAAAGGGAGCGUAGAUGGGUUGUUAAGUCAGUUGUGAAAGUCCGGGGCUCAACCGUGAAAGAGCAAUUGAUACUGGCAGUCUUGAGUACAGUUGAGGUAGGCGGAAUUCGUGGUGUAGCGGUGAAAUGCUUAGAUAUCACGAAGAACCCCGAUUGCGAAGGCAGCUUACUAAACUGUGACUGACAUUGAUGCUCGAAAGUGUGGGUAUCAAACAGGAUUAGAUACCCGAGUAGUC
rnacentral:rRNA from 1 species